rnacentral:ncRNA from 1 species
ACGAAUAUUUCAUUGACGUAUUGGGUUAACUCCACUAAUUGAACUACAUAUGGCAGCCCACACGCAUUGUGCCCUAUAAAUUACUUACAUAAAGUCUUUAAAAGCCCAAACUGUAAGCCAUUUUCGGACCUCCUACUUGGUCCAAGGUCAUCAUCCCACAACACCAAUGUCCUAUAUUAGGCCAGCUAGGAGACUAGGCCCUAGAAAACAAGUGAAUAGAGGUGGCAAAAAUGGUGCCAGCAGUCGCGGUUAUACCAUUACCUCAAGUUAAUCUACACAAACAGGGAUCAACCCUAAGGCUAAAAAAUUAACUUUCUACGUAAAAAAUAAAUUAUAACUAAACCCAACUAAGCCAUUGUCUUGAAAAUCCCACCAAACCACAACCUCAAAACCCGGAUUAGAUACCCGGCUAUUGUGUGGCCCAACAUCAAAAGAAUACUACAAGCGAAAGCUUAAACCUCAAACAAUGUGGCGGUGCUUAACUCCUCAUCAGGGGAUCCUGUGUCUUAAAUCGAUAAUCCACGAAAAUCUUAGCUAUUCUAGUUCUCAGCUUGUGUAUGGCCGUUUACGCUUGCUCAAAAAAGAUAUAAAAGGAAGCAAUAGAGUUAUACCCUCUAAUUCAGGUGACAUACAGCCAAUGAAAAGCUGACUCAUGGGAUACAAAUAAAUAUACUACCAAACUCAAAAGUUAAAGCUUUUAACGAAGGAGGACUUGAAAGUAAGAUUUAAACCCAUAAAGAGAAUCUGAAUAAGAACUUAAGCGCGCACAAAUCGCCCGUCACUCCGGCAGUAAAGCCGGAUAAGUCGUAACACAGUAGGGGUAAUGGAAAUUGCCCCUAUCUC